CAGGGAGACAACAAAAUGUUUAAUAUUAUUAUUUUGUCACCUUAGGUCGAUCGGUAUCUCACGUUUUUAAUUUAUUAAGAAUUUCAUUUCCUAAGUUUUUCUAGGUCACACCCAUUAUUUUUCCUGGGCCAUUAGCUCAGGUGGUUAGAGCGCACCCCUGAUAAGGGUGAGGUCCCUGGUUCAAGUCCAGGAUGGCCCAUAUCUCUAUGUUGGGGGUAUAGCUCAGUUGGUAGAGCGCCUGCUUUGCAAGCAGGAUGUCAGCGGUUCGAGUCCGCUUACCUCCACUGAUUACCACCUCUUCCAUAAACCGGUAGAAAGGAAAUGUUUUGAGUUGUGAUCAAAUUCUGAAAGAUUCUAGCUUCCUAAUGAAAUCAUUAAGAUGCUGGACUCAUUGAAUUAAGUUCAUUGUUUUCAGAGAACCUUGACAACUGCAUAGAUUAUUUUUAAAGACAAUAAGCAUCUUUAAUGAUGCAGAUUUAUUAUUUGUGCGAAUGCAUUAAUAACAAUUCUAUUAAGCUGAUGCUUCAAUUUUUGAAGUUAUU
rnacentral:tRNA from 1 species